rnacentral:rRNA from 1 species
UCAGAUUGAACGCUGGCGGCGUGCUUAACACAUGCAAGUCGAACGCGAAAGGGACUUCGGUCCUGAGUAAAGUGGCGCACGGGUGAGUAACGCGUGGAUAAUCUGCCCUUAUGAUCGGGAUAACAGUUGGAAACGGCUGCUAAUACCGGAUACGCUCAAAAUGAACUUUUUGAGGAAAGAUGGCCUCUGCUUGCAUGCUAUCACGUAAGGAUGAGUCCGCGUCCCAUUAGCUUGUUGGCGGGGUAACGGCCCACCAAGGCAACGAUGGGUAGCCGAUUUGAGAGGAUGAUCGGCCACACUGGAACUGAAACACGGUCCAGACUCCUACGGGAGGCAGCAGUGGGGAAUAUUGCGCAAUGGGCGAAAGCCUGACGCAGCGACGCCGCGUGAGGGAUGAAGGUUUUCGGAUCGUAAACCUCUGUCAGAAGGGAAGAAACUACGUUGUGCUAAUCAGCAGCGUACUGACGGUACCUUCAAAGGAAGCACCGGCUAACUCCGUGCCAGCCGCCGC